rnacentral:rRNA from 1 species
AAAGCGUGCGCAGGCGGUUAUGUAAGACAGAUGUGAAAUCCCCGGGCUCAACCUGGGAACUGCAUUUGUGACUGCAUGGCUAGAGUACGGUAGAGGGGGAUGGAAUUCCGCGUGUAGCAGUGAAAUGCGUAGAUAUGCGGAGGAACACCGAUGGCGAAGGCAAUCCCCUGGACCUGUACUGACGCUCAUGUACGAAAGCGUGGGGAGCAAACAGGAUUAGAUACCCGUGU